ensembl:miRNA
GGUACCCUAUGAAUCUAGUGGAAUCACUUCUGCACAAACUUGACUACUGAAAUCAGUGUGCGGAAAUGCUUCUGCUACAUUUUUAGGGUCUC